AUUUUGUCUGGCUUAGCAUUCCAAAUAAAAUGAAUUUUUUUUUGCUCAUAUGAUUUAAAAAAAACGAGUCAUCUGGAGUGAGCAGUGCCAUUAGUAAGUAAUUAAACUGUGAUAGGACCAAAAAGUUAUUCAAUGUGAUUUUUCCAUAAAUAGACGAGUCUCCAUGGUUGCAGAAUCUUAUCAAUUUUGGCAACCUUCUAUUGAAAUGAAUUGUGGUAAGUUAAUUUAUAUUUUUUGAGAUGUGAAUACCAAGUAUGUCUACUACACCCUAAGCCCAACUACAAGGUAGUGUAAACACUGUUUUUCUUUUUACGAUCCAGUAUGAAAUAUGGUACACGUGUCAUAAUUAGGUUUUAAUCCCGAGAGGCCAGAAAAGUGAUCAAGAUCUUCAAUUAGACUGUUCAGGGAUCCAGAUUGCGGACUUAGAAAAAAAACUAGAGUCAUCAGCAUACAUUGACACUUUUGUUUUUAUCCCCUGUAUUUCUAAACACUUGAUGUUCUUGUUUUAAUAGCUAGCAUUUCAAUGGCCAUAAUAAACAGAUAUGGAGACAACGGACAGCCUUGUUUUACUCCUCUUAAAAGCUCACUACUUUCUGAGUGGUAAACAUUAUUUACUAUUUUACAUCUGGGGUUGCUGUACAUAACUUUAACCCAUUGUAUAAGAGAUUCAACAAAAUUAAAGUAAUCCGCGCAUUUAUUUAUAAAUUCUGGUCGUACUUUAUCAAACACCUUUUCAAAAUCUGCUAUGAAGACCAGGCCUGGUAUCUUUGUUUCAUAAUGUUCAAUUGUUGCAAGUAAUUGUUGUAUUUUAUCUCCAAUAUAUUAUCCAUGUAAAAAACCUGUCUGAUCAAGGUGAACAAUAUUUGGUAAAACCUUUUUUUAUUCUAUGUGCCCUGCAUUUCACCUGGAUUUUCACAUCACAACAUUGAAGUGUUAGUUUUUUAAAUGGAUUGGAUCUUUAUACUUACCACCUGGGUUCUGUUUUAGUAGUAAUGAAAUCAGACCUUCUUUUUGAGUACCUGAAAGUCUACCAUUUGUAUUGGAGUAAUUAAAAUAUGUUAAUAAGGGAUCUCCGAGUACUUCAAAAAAAGGUCUGAUAUACCUUUACUGGUAUACCGUCAAGCCGUGGUGUUUUUCCAGACUGAAAAGAUUUUAUUACCUCAAAGUUCCUCUUCUGUAAGUUGGCCUUCACACAGGUCUUUCUGUAAAUUUGUUAUUUUUACGUUAUUAUUAUUAGGAAAGAAAUCCUUAUAGUUAACAUCAUUCAGUGGAUAUUCAGGAGACUGAAAAUAAAACAUACACUUUCCUCUUUCAAAAUAUAAUUUGGUGAAUCAUGGAUAACUCCAUUUGUAAUGAGUUUCUGUAAAUUAUUUUUGGUAGAUUUUCUAUGUUGAAGAUUCAAGAAAAAAAAAUUUUCAUCAUUUUCCAUCCAAUUAGCUUUAUUUUUGUAAUACAAUACACCUAAUCGUUCUUGAAUAAGUACCUCCAAUUCUUUUUGUUUUUCCUCUAACCUAUUUUGUGCCGCUAUACUACAGUUUCCAUUACCAUCUACCUGCGCUGUUACUUCCUCUAUUUCCUUUAUUAGUCUAAUCUUUUUUUGACCUAAACUGUUUUUGUUUUAAUGAUGAGUGUUGUAUUGAAAGUACAUUUGAAAGUGUCCCAUGCAAUAAGGGGAACUGCUGUACCUAUGCUGUACAAGAAAGUCAAUUAUGAAUUAUUUUGUCUUAGUUGAGAACAAAUUGUCAUCCAAUAGGCUUGGAUUAAAUUUCCCAAAUUCCUGUCCAAGUAGAAAUUUUGUAAGAGUUAAAUGGAGGCCAAUUAGAUGGUGGUCUGAACCCAUUCGGUCUCCUAUUAAUACUUUUUUCUACUUUUGAUGCCAGCAAGAAUGAGACCAGGAAGUAAUCAAGACUGCUAGCUUGAUUAAGCCGCCUCCAAGUUUAUCUCACUAGGCCAGGGUUUUUCACCCUCCAUAUAUCCACUAGUUCUAAUGUAUCCAUGAUCUUUGUGCUUGAGGGUGAUCGUUUGUAGAGUGAUUUCCUGUACGAUCCAUUGAGGUACUUAAAACCGUAUUAUAAUCUCCCACCAUAAUAAUAGAUUCUUUCGUUGCUUGUGAGCUCAACAGAUUAUUAUAUAUAUUUUCGAAAAAGUGUGGAUCAUCGUUAUUUGGCCCAUAUAGAUUCAUUAGCCAGAUCUGUUUUUGGUCCAAUAGCAUAUUUAAAAUAAUCCAUCUUCCUUGAGGAUCUGUUUGCACAGCUUGCACAAUCGGAUCAACAUUUGUAUUAAUUAGUCAAAUCACCCCUUUUGAGUUUCUUUGCCCGUGACAAAAAUAUAUUUCUCCCUCCCAGUCCUUUUUCCACACAAUCUCAUCUAUAUUUGUAGAAUGAGUUUCCUGUAAACAAUAGAUAUUAUAUUUGUUCUAUUUUAGCCAUGUAAAAAUGUAUAUUUUUUGAUCUGCUAAGCCAUUCCAAUUAUAACUUUCUAUAUUUAUUUCCCCACUUACCAUAAUGAUACUUACCACAACCAAUGUUUGUAAACUUACCAUUAAAAAGCACCAUGAUGAUUAAGUGUCCAUAUAGCUGUACCAUAAUAAUAUGCACUGUUAAGCUGCAACUUUGUAAACCUCCAAUUGUCUUAAUAUUCUGCCCACUAAAAACUCCCACCAUAUUUAGGUCUGUUGCUACUAAGACCAUCAGACCAUCUCCCUGAUGCGUCCUAAGGCAAACCCUUGGCCGCCAAUUGGUGUUGGCCAGAAGGAAAUAUGGGCAGUCCCAUGAUAACAACAUAAAUAUCUAUGAGGAUGCUUAAGAGAACUAACCAAAUAACAUGGAAAACAGUAAAAAAAAUAUAUAUAUAUAUAAGAAAAUAGUAACAAUAUCAGAUAAUAUUAAUAGAAAUAAUAACAGCACAAUCUUAUAAAUGCCUGCUCAUAUAUUUAGAAAGUCCUAGCAAGGCUGUAAGCAUGUCAACCCAGCCUGCUCAGUUCAUUUUAUACCAUUUUUUUUAUUUUUUAUUUAAUGAAGAGAAAACAACCUAAAUAUAUCUCAAGACCAGUCCUUUUUUUAUGACCAUUAAAUGCAAGACAUAUUUCAUGUAGUCCUCAUUAUAUCCUGUUCUAUUUCGACAAAAGAAGGAAAAUGGAGCAUAGAUUCUAACGGCCGCUAAUGACCGCAAGUAAAAUGUGUCUUAGUCAUCGCAUCAUAUCCUGUUUAUCUAUUUAUAUAUAUUAUCACAUUAUAUAACAGUAUUCCUGUUAUAUCGUGCCACGGCCGUGCCAGAGCCGACCGCAAGCCAAACACCCAGGCCUAUAUCAUUAGGAUCAAUAAUAUAAAAGGUAACAUAGAUAGCUUAUAUAGAAAUAUAUAAUGUACCUUUCUCUCGCUUAGAGAAGUGCUUCCAUAAGCCAAUUAUUGUAUUAGUUUUACCGUUAACUUGAAUCACUUUAUCCCAGUGUUAACCAGCCUGCCACACACUAGAGACAACAACCCUCUUGACAAUACCUAAUCCAUCCAUUUGCCAGUGUGUAUCGGAAGAAUAAUCAUCAUUUACAUUUUUUAUAUUGAGAUGGAUUUAUUUUUACGUGAAAGGUAAUAACACCAAUUAUUUUAGGAUUGCAUAGGCCUAUUCCUAUAGAGAACCUAGGCAGGUUUUUAAUGAUAUAAUCCUUUAUCCUAGCCCUAACAAUAAAUCUAUGAAUAUUUAUUCAGUUUUAUCUUAAAAGCUAAUUGUUCCGUUUCACAUCGGCAAACAAGGGCCGCACUAUAUAACAGCUUUUAGGUCAUAAUAUACCCAACCUCUACAAUUUAAGCCAUAUCAUAUUUAAACAAAACAAAAAAACUACCUUGGUAUUGCCAAUGUACAAUCGUCAAAUGAAAUACAUAAAAAAUCAUGUGUAUCAGGGACUACUUCAAAAGGAGGUAGCUAUCACUCACAGCCGCGUUGUAAUCUUCGAGUCCUUGAACAUUCGGUUGUUUACUUACAAUGUUUCGACCAGGAAGUACAUUGUUCAUUCAGAUUGCCUGCUGCAGUUGUUUGAGAGAUGUCCAGUUUGCAGCCGAACCUGCAACAUAGAGAAGACCAGCAAGGGGACCCUCAGAAUCACGCAGACAUGACUUCGCCGUGAGCAUUCCUAUACAUGGAACAGGGAGGACACUUGAAUUAGACCAGUGUCUUUGAUGAGGGGUCAGGAACUGAUCUAUGCUGCCAUGCCCAUCAAUGGGGCGCUGGCAUAGACCUUACCUCCAGCCUCACCUCUUGCCUGCUCACCAACGGUCGUCGAUGGGGUUGCCCAGAAUUAGAUGCGUCUAUGGAACAAGCACUUGGAGACUUGCAAGAUGAUGUGAGUCCCGACUGACAGACGGGCUUGAUACUGAUGUCUCUAAAUGGAGAGAGAUCUUGCACUCCGCAUUAAAAUUGUACUUGACACAACUUUUACUUAUAUGGUCUUUUUCUGUUAAUGAAUUGAGGGAGAAACCCUGUUUAUUCCGCACCAGGAUCAACUCCUGUUGAAUACGGGACACCACAAAGGAAGGUAUGAUCGCCCCGACAUGUUUUCCAAGGUAGCCCCAUUACCACCAGGCAAUGCCGAUGGGCGCAGUAUCUGUAUCAGCUGGGAAGGAUGAUGAAAGGUGUACAUUGUUAUAUUAGCAGAACACUGCUUCUAUGGUAUUAUGUAAAGGGUUGUUUAUUCUACAUUGACCUGUUGAUACAUUUCAAAGUGAUCAAAACACUUUUUUUUUACAAUAUCUACAUAAAUUCAGAAAUUGCAUUCUUCUCACAUUACUCUGUAGGCUACUGACCUAUUCAAAGCUUCCUCCGGCAUCUCACCAUACAUUUGCCUGUAGUUAUUGAACUCAACCUGCAGGAGGUUUGAAUGUUGUGAUUGAGUGGGGGGAAACAGCUGCAGGCAAGGUUCUGACAGAUGGGUGUGUCUUGGUGGUGACAAGGACACACCCAAGAAAUACACACAUCAAACCACACCCCCAAGCCAACUCACGUUUGGCUUCUGUCAUGGCUGCCAGCAUUUCUUGGGGGGCAAGCCAAAAAACGAGGCCAAAUCAGCGGUUCCUCUACUCUAUAAGAUGUGGCCAUCUAUUGAUUUUAUGUUACUAAACGAUCACAGUAGUAAUUCUUCAACGAGUCUGUUACCGCGGUUUGUGUUUUGAGCACAUACCCCCUAAAAGGUCUGUUCCUGGCCCUGGACAGACGGGUAGCCAGAGAUGAAAAUCAAACAAGGUUCUCAGCUGCAAUACGGGGCCACAGUUCCAUGUUUUUGGUGUUUUGUUCAAAUUCAAACAAAGA